AUGGCGUCCAGUGAGGAGGACGGCACCAACGGCGCCUCCGAGGCCAGCGACGAGAAGGAAGCCGCCGGCAAGCGGAGACGCCUAGGCUUACUGGCCACCGCCUGGCUCACCUUCUACAAUAUCGCCAUGACGGCCGGGUGGUUGGUUCUUGCUAUUGCUAUGGCAUGCUUUUAUAUGGAAAAAGGAACACACAGAGGUUUAUAUAAAAGCAUUCAGAAGACACUUAAGUUUUUCCAAACAUUUGCUUUGCUUGAGGUAGUCCAUUGUCUGAUCGGAAUUGUACCCACUUCUGUGCUUGUGACUGGGGUCCAAGUGAGCUCAAGAAUCUUCAUGGUGUGGCUCAUUACUCACAGUAUAAAACCCAUACAAUUUGUUUAUCAUCUUAUAUCCCGUUGGAGUUGCUGGGGAACUUCUCACAAUAUACGCCGUUACGUAAAGAAGUCAGGAAUGUUCUCAGUAUGGCUUCCCAACAAGUACAAUGUUUCUUUUGACUACUACUAUUUUCUUCUCAUAACCAUGGCCUCCUAUAUACCGUUGUUUCCUCAGCUCUAUUUUCAUAUGUUACGUCAGAGAAGAAAGGUGCUCCACGGGGAGGUGAUCUCGGAGAAGGACGAUUAA
rnacentral:lncRNA from 1 species